AUGCUCAUUUCGGCAGCACAUAUACUAAAAUUGGAACCAUACAGAGAAGAUUAGCACGACCCCUGUGCAAGGAUGACAUGCAAAUUCAUGAAGCAUUCCAUAUUUUU
ensembl:snRNA U6 U6 spliceosomal RNA